rnacentral:rRNA from 1 species
GCCUAACUACCCUAAUGGCACUAGAUCCUGUUUAAUCUUGGAAGCUAAGGAGGAUGAGGCCUGAUUAGUACUUGGAUGGGAUACUGCCUGUGAAUACCAGAUAAUGUGGGCU